ACGAAGACUCUCAGUAUGAUGGAGGAAGAUUUCCCAGAAUCCCCUCCGGACGAUGAGCUCCAGCGCUCCCAAACAGAGGUGAUACCAGAUUCACCACAAGACCUGAACCUGGACAGAGUGAUCCAGGAUCAACAGAGUCCAGAGAGUCCCAAACAGGACCAGGAGCAGCAGUCUAGUCUAGACCAGGUUCAGGAUGAUGUAGAGGAUAAAACGUGUCCUCCAGAUCCUCCUGAGGUUCCGACAGAGGACGACUGUGGCCGAAGCAGAGCUUCAGAGGAGUCUGAUCUUCAAGUCGAACGUCACCAAUCGAUCUGUGAUCCGGAUCAGAGAGAGGAUCUGGUUGGAGUCUCGCCUCAGGAUCUGGACCGAGCUGGGCGAGAAGGAAACUCCGACCAGGACCAGGACCUGAAUACCGCCACAGCCAAUCAAGAGUCAGCCGGGGAUUCGGGUGGCAGCGUCCCAGCGCUGGUGAUCACUCAGGCGGAGGAGCACUCACAGUCUGGACCAGAAUCAGUGGCUCCAGUCGAACCAGCGGAGCCUCGGAGACCACAGAGACCUGAAGACCUGGUGAUCCCUACGACACCCACAGAACCCAGUCUGAGCUCCAGCAGUGACGGAGGAGACAUGACCUGCUCAGACCUCCUUUCUCUGAGGAGCGACUCCGUGUCUCUGGCCAGUGAGCCGACGAUCUCCAGGACGAGCGAUCCAGUCCCAUCAGCAGCAGAAAGGCUCUCUUUAUGGCGGGGUCACCGGGGGGAAUAUGGAGCCCGGCGUACGAGCGCGUCUUCCUGUCCAACUGUGGUUACUUUUAUUUUGGUUUCCCCUCUGGAUCUGAUCUACUCAUCAGAGGCCCGUCAGUCUCAGCCAGUGUUCACCUGUUAAUCAAUAAUACGGCCUGACGGUUCGAGAACUGUGACAGUGGGAGACAUGGCGUCACAACUCAGUGAUGGUAAAGCAAAGAGCGUCUCAUCACUGUUAGUGUGAAGGUUUGUAAAGGAUCAAUGUCUGGAUCCUAAAACUCUUUAAAGAUCAGUGGAACUGACCACAACCAUUAGAAGAUCCUCCAGGUUCAGCUUUAAUUAUAUUAUUAUAUAUUUAUAUUUAUAUGUGUGUGUGUGUGUGUGUGUGUGUGUGUGUGUGCAUUGAAAGCAACCUGAACUCACAUUGAGUCCUGGUCAAUACGAAGGAAUACAAAUACUUUAAAACACAAAUACAAUAAAAUAAACAAUUCAGUAAAUUAUAAUAAAA
rnacentral:lncRNA from 15 species